AAAAUGGGUCAGCCCGCUCAUUUAUUUAAAACAGGGUUUGACUGAUUUUUAAAAUGGGUAGGCCCACUCAUUUCUUUAAAAUAGGGUCUGACUGAUUUUUAAAAUGGGCCGACCCACUCUCUUUUAAAAACAGGGUCUGACUGAUUUUUAAAAUGGGUCGGCCCACUCUCUUUUAAAAAUAGGGCCCGAUUUAUUUCUAAAUGGGCCGGCCUUUUGGAUUAAAAAAAAAAUAGAGCCCAAAAGUCCUUAAAAUCAAGGAAGCCCAAAAGGAUUCUCAAACGAGGCCCAAAGCCAAGGUGUUAGAAGGGGCAAACGGAUCUAGACCCGGGUCAGAGACCAAUUCUAGGUCUGAGCUCAGGUGUGAGGCCUGAGAGCAGGGGGUACCUACGGUCACAUGCACACACAAGUAUCACAUUAACCAAAAGCAGAGGAAGGGGCUUUAAUUUCUUUACCUUUUCUCCUAUUCUCCUCCAGUCUUCUUCUCUAGUCCCUGUGUGUGUCUGAGCUUGCCCAGUUGAGAGUCUGUGGCUUGGUGUGGUUCUAAAUCAACUAUUGAAACCUCUGUGCUCUGGGUUCUGUACUAAGUGAACAGACGAAACCUGCACCUCUACCCAGCUCUGCAAUUCAGCAGAGCUUCACUCUCUCUCUCUGGAUCCUACAAUUCUCUGCAGGGUUUCCUCACUCCUCUCAACUGCUUUCUCUUCCCUCAAUUUUUGCAGGGUUUCUCUACUUCCCCCCGGGUAGGUAUUUCUUCCUAAUUUUUUCAGAGUUUUCCUAAGCUCUCCGGGGUUGCCUGCUACAGUAAUGGGACUCCCUAUUUAUAGGGAGUCCGAGAGGACCUUUGGCGCCAAUUCCUCUAACGGAAUGUCAGAGGGAAUUUUCACCUUUACAGGUGUCAUUCCCUCCUUGUGCUUGUGAGUUAUUUCUUUUUGAGAAUUGUCUUUUAACUAACAAAUUGAUUCUGUUCUGGUGCACAGGGGAGUUUGAGGAGGUCCAUGUGUUAGCACAGGGAUGGUGGACAUUUUGGGGUGCCUCUAUGUGGUAGCACAGGGAUGGUGGGCAGGGUGGCUAGGGUGAUCUAGGUGUCCACCUAGGACUUGCGGAUUUUGAAUGCUUCCAUAUUGGCAAGCCCGAAUUGGGGAAUUCAGGAUCUGCCUUUUGCUUUUUGUGUUUUGCAUUUAUUUAUCUUUUUGUAUGCUGAUGUAUGUACCCUUGAGUAACCCUCCCUUGCAACUUUUAUUUGUACCCUCUUCAUUGUAUUUUUCAAAUGUAAACUCUAUAUGCAUUUUCCUUUUUAUUUUUCUAUA